GCCGGCGUAGCUCAAUGGUAGAGCAGCUGACUUGUAAUCAGCAGGUUGCGGGUUCGAGUCCCAUCGCCGGCUCCA
rnacentral:tRNA from 1 species